rnacentral:rRNA from 1 species
CCUACGGGAGGCAGCAGUGGGGAAUAUUGCAGAUGGAGGAAACUCUGAUGCAGCAACGCCGCGUGGAGGAUGACGCAUUUCGGUGUGUAAACUCCUUUUAUAUGGGAAGAUAAUGACGGUACCAUAUGAAUAAGCACCGGCUAACUCCGUGCCAGCAGCCGCGGUAAU